AGACUUUUGAAUAACAAAACGAUUGGUUUAAAUCAGGUGGAAAACCUAUUUACAAAAUGGGUUUAAUAUAAAAAAUCUCCAAAACCUGAUCUGAAGGAAUUUUGCCUUCGUACCAUUUGAGUUCACUAAUUCUAGAUUUCCAAAAAGUGAUUCCUAGAAUUUUAAAAGAAAAAUAUUUGGUUAACAACAAUAUUUCAUGUUAGAAGAAAAGAAGGAA
rnacentral:lncRNA from 1 species